rnacentral:rRNA from 1 species
UCGAGGGGCAUCGGGAUUGAAGCUUGCUUCAAUUGCCGGCGACCGGCGCACGGGUGCGUAACGCGUAUAUAACCUACCUAUAACAGGGGCAUAACACUGAGAAAUUGGUACUAAUUCCCCAUAAUAUUCGGAGAGGCAUCUCUCCGGGUUGAAAACUCCGGUGGUUAUAGAUGGACAUGCGUUGUAUUAGCUAGUUGGUGAGGUAACGGCUCACCAAGGCAACGAUACAUAGGGGGACUGAGAGGUUAACCCCCCACACUGGUACUGAGACACGGACCAGACUCCUACGGGAGGCAGCAGUGAGGAAUAUUGGUCAAUGGACGCAAGUCUGAACCAGCCAUGCCGCGUGCAGGAAGACGGCUCUAUGAGUUGUAAACUGCUUUUGUACGAGGGUAAACUCACCUACGUGUAGGUGACUGAAAGUAUCGUACGAAUAAGGAUCGGCUAACUCCGUGCCAGCAGCCGCGGUAAUACGGAGGAUUCAAGCGUUAUCCGGAUUUAUUGGGUUUAAAGGGUGCGUAGGCGGUUUGAUAAGUUAGAGGUGAAAUCCCGGGGCUUAACUCCGGAACUGCCUCUAAUACUGUUAGACUAGAGAGUAGUUGCGGUAGGCGGAAUGUAUGGUGUAGCGGUGAAAUGCUUAGAGAUCAUACAGAACACCGAUUGCGAAGGCAGCUUACCAAACUAUAUCUGACG